rnacentral:rRNA from 1 species
UACGUAGGGGGCAAGCGUUGUCCGGAUUUAUUGGGCGUAAAGAGCGUGUAGGCGGCCAGGUAGGUCUGCUGUGAAAACUCGAGGCUUAACCUCGAGCUGUCGGCGGAAACCAUCUGGCUAGAGUCCGGAAGAGGAGAAUGGAAUUCCCGGUGUAGCGGUGAAAUGCGCAGAUAUCGGGAAGAACACCGAUUGCGAAGGCAGCUCGCUGGGACGUAACUGACGCUGAGACGCGAAAGCGUGGGGAGCAAACAGG